rnacentral:rRNA from 1 species
GAUGAACGCUGGCGGCGUGCUUAACACAUGCAAGUCGAACGGUGAAGCAGGAGCUUGCUCUUGUGGAUCAGUGGCGAACGGGUGAGUAACACGUGAGCAACCUGCCCCUGACUCUGGGAUAAGCGCUGGAAACGGCGUCUAAUACUGGAUAUGUGAUGUGACCGCAUGGUCUGCAUCUGGAAAGAAUUUCGGUUGGGGAUGGGCUCGCGGCCUAUCAGCUUGUUGGUGAGGUAAUGGCUCACCAAGGCGCCGACGGGUAGCCGGCCUGAGAGGGUGACCGGACACACUGGGACUGAGACACGGCCCAGACUCCUACGGGAGGCAGCAGUGGGGAAUAUUGCACAAUGGGCGGAAGCCUGAUGCAGCAACGCCGCGUGAGGGAUGACGGCCUUCGGGUUGUAAACCUCUUUUAGCAGGGAAGAAGCGAAAGUGACGGUACCUGCAGAAAAAGCACCGGCUAACUACGUGCCAGCCGCCGCGGUAA